ACAUAAAAUUUUGAAAGUUCAUUUAAAAGUUUAUCUUAAUUUAGUUCUCCAUUAUUUUUUAAUUAUGUAGUCAAUUAACUAUAUUUUAUAAAACAAAUUUUUGAUAUAACAAAGUAAAUAAGAAUACUGUUGUUAACAUUUUUACAUACAUAUAUGUCACUUUUCUAUGUAUGUAAACAUGUAUAAACAAUUUUUUGAAAGUCAAUUAAAUUCUGGCAACUGCCUUUUAAGGUAAACACUGUUAUUAUCUUGAUGUUACUAUAAAUGACAAACUGAAGCACACAGUAAACCUAAAAUGAUAUUGCUAGUUUAUGGUGGAGACUAUUUAAAUCCAACAGUUUGAUUCCAGAGCCUACUCCCUUAACUCUACCAUUACCUUUUCUUGUUUUUGUCCCUGUCUGUCAGAAUCUCCAAAUGAAUUUCCAUACAAAUAUAUAUCUAAGAGAAUGCUAUGAAGUUAAAAGACACAGUUAUAAGCACCCAGGACAGGGAAGACCUGAUUUAGUCUAGGGAGGGUAGAGUUACCUGUCUGGAUCCGUUGAGUUGAAAACUAAAAGUAAGAGUUAAGUAGGCAAGGCAAAUGGAAGAAACAUUUUCAGUAGAGGAAACCUCUUGUGCAAAGGCCCUGUGGCAAGAGAAAAUAAAGUGACAUCAUGAAACAGAGAAAGCCAAUAUGACCAGAGUUGAGUGAACAAGAGGGAGAAAUGUAAGUCCAGAGAUAGAAGCAGGUUCCUAAUCUUGCUUUUUGGCCAUAUUACAAGAUACUUGGUUUUCAUCCUAAAAAUAACAGGAAUCCACUAAAGAAUUAUAAAUGAGGGAAUGACAUUGUUUUACUGCCUUUACAUUAUCAAUGUUUAGUGCCUGGACUUACAGCUAAUUGAGUAACUGAAUGACAACAUGAAUAAACAAAUAGAUAUACUUUUUUGAGAAACUAAUUUCCCAUUUGCAUCUAUCUUUUUGUUUUAACAUAUUGAACUAGGCUUAAUAGAAACAACAUUAAAGGAGUUUUUAUUAUACUACCGUAGGAGCCCAAUGCAUGAAAAUUCAUGAAAGAAUAAGCCUUACUUCUCCCAGCUGCGGGCUCCGGCUUCCCUCUGGCUGCCAGCAAGCACCUGAGACCCAGGGUGGCUUCCCUCGGGCCGCCUGCAGGCACCUGGGACCCGGGCUGCUUGCCUCCUCCAGCCACCAGCAGGCAUGCAGGACCCAGGCCAGCUUCCCUCCACCCCAGCUUUGUCAGGAAGGCUGUCCGGAAGACGUCCAGUCUAAUUAGCAUGUUACCCUUUUAUUAUAGAUGAGAUGAGGCAUGGUUUUUACAUAACUAGAUUUCUGUAGAGGCUAGCAGAAAGAUGGAGAAAGUAUUUCUAGUUAAAGAAAACAUAGUUCACCUUAUACCCUAUUCCAGCCUUGGAAUCGGUCAUUUCUCCAAAGAACCCUGUUAAACAUUGUCUUUUAAACUAUAUUUAAUGACAAAAAGGAUUAAGAAUGUGAAAGGGAUCAGGAGAAAGAGCAGACUCUUAUCACGUAGGUACUUUGGGUGUUAUGGCUAAGAACCACAGAGCUGGAGAGUCUUUAAAAGAAUUUUAAGUAUGUAGUUAGAGUCUAAAA